rnacentral:rRNA from 1 species
UACGGGGGGGCAAGCGUUGUUCGGAAUUACUGGGCGUAAAGGGCUCGUAGGCGGCCAACUAAGUCGGAUGUGAAAUCCCCAGGCUUAACCUGGGAACUGCAUCCGAUACUGGAUGGCUUGAAUUCGGGAGAGGGAUGCAGAAUUCCAGGUGUAGCGGUGAAAUGCGUAGAUAUAGGGGAGAACACUCGUGGCGAAGGCGGCCAGCUAGACCAGUCCUGACGCUGAGGCGCGACAGCGUGGGGAGCAAACAGG